rnacentral:rRNA from 1 species
UAGGGAAUAUUAGAAAUGGACGAAAGUCUGAUCUAGCAACACCGCGUGUGCGAAGAAGGCCUUCGGGUCGUAAAGCACUUUUUGGAAGGAAUAGGAAGGAAUGUACUUCCAGAAUAAGUCUCGGCUAACUACGUGCCAGCAGCCGCGGUAACACGUAGGAGGCGAACGUUAUCCGGAUUUACUGGGCGUAAAGCGCGUGUAGGUGGUUUGGUAAGUAGGGCGUGAAAGCUCCUGGCUCAACUGGGAGAGGCCGUUCUAAACUGCCGAACUAGAGGAUGGUAGAGGGAGGUGGAAUUCCGGGUGUAGCGGUGGAAUGCGCAGAUAUCCGGAGGAACACCAGUGGCGAAAGCGGCCUCCUGGACCAUUCCUGACACUCAGACGCGAAAGCUAGGGUAGCA